GACGAACGCUGGCGGCGUGCCUAAUACAUGCAAGUAGAACGCUGAAGGAGGAGCUUGCUUCUCUGGAUGAGUUGCGAACGGGUGAGUAACGCGUAGGUAACCUGCCUGGUAGCGGGGGAUAACUUUUGGAAACGAUAGCUAAUACCGCAUAAUAGUAGAUGUUGCAUGACAUUGGUUUAAAAGUUGCAAUUGCAUCACUACCAGAUGGACCUGCGUUGUAUUAGCUAGUUGGUGGGGUAACGGCUCACCAAGGCGACGAUACAUAGCCGAACUGAGAGGGGGAGCAGCCAACCUGGGACUGAGACCCGGCCCAGACGGCCUCGGGAAGCAGCAAGAGGGAAACGUGGGCAAUGGGCGGAAGUCUGACCGAGAUACGCCGCGGGAGGGAAGAAGGAUUUCGGAUCGGAAAGCUCGGUUGUAAGAGAAGAACGAGUGUGAGAGUGGAAAGUUCACACUGUGACGGUAUCUUAUCAGAAAGGGACGGCUAACUACGUG
rnacentral:rRNA from 1 species